UUAUAUAUGCGUAUGUAAUUGUAGGGUUCUAAGCUUUACGGGAAACUCAACCGAAAGUUUCUUAUUUAAGAAACUUUCGGUUGAGUUUCCCGUAAAGCCGAACGGUUGGGUUUUCCGUAAAGCUUAGAACCCCACAAUUACAUACGCAUAUAUAA
rfam:Brassica napus, WGS project CCCW01000000 data, contig: 31161